CCUACGGGAGGCAGCAGUAGGGAAUCUUGGACAAUGGGCGAAAGCCUGAUCCAGCGACGCCGCGUGGGGGACGAAGGCCCUCGGGUUGUAAACCCCUGUUGUUGGGAAAGAAGCCGGCUUCGUGCCGGUGACGGUACCCAACGAGGAAGCCCCGGCUAACUACGUGCCAGCAGCCGCGGUAAGACGUAGGGGGCGAGCGUUAUCCGGAUUCACUGGGCGUAAAGGGCGCGCAGGCGGCUAUGUAAGUCCGGCGUGAAAUCCCACGGCUCAACUGUGGAAUUGCGUCGGAUACUGCAUUGGCUUGAGGACGGUAGAGGCUUCUGGAACUAGCGGUGUAGCGGUGAAAUGCGCAGAUAUCGCUAGGAACGCCGGUGGCGAAGGCGGGAGGCUGGGCCGAUCCUGACGCUGAGGCGCGAAAGCUAGGGGAGCGAACCGGAUUA
rnacentral:rRNA from 1 species